rnacentral:rRNA from 1 species
CCUACGGGUGGCAGCAGUGAGGAAUAUUGGUCAAUGGGCGCGAGCCUGAACCAGCCAAGUAGCGUGAAGGAUGACUGCCCUACGGGUUGUAAACUUCUUUUAUAAAGGAAUAAAGUGAGGCACGUGGGCCGUUUUGUAUGUACGUUAUGAAUAAGGAUGGGCUAACUCCGUGCCAGCAGCCGCGGUAAUACGGAGGAUCCGAGCGUUAUCCGGAUUUAUUGGGUUUAAAGGGAGCGUAGAUGGGUUGUUAAGUCAGUUGUGAACGUUUGCGGCUCACCCGUAAAAUUGCAAGUGAUACUGGCAGUCUUUAGUACAGUUGCGGUCGGCGGCAUUCGUGUUGUAGCGGUGACAUGCUUAGCUCUCACGA